rnacentral:rRNA from 1 species
CGCGGCCUAUCAGCUUGUUGGUGGGGUAAUGGCUCACCAAGGCGUCGACGGGUAGCCGGCCUGAGAGGGUGACCGGCCACACUGGGACUGAGGCACGGCCCAGACUCCUACGGGAGGCAGCAGUGGGGAAUAUUGCACAAUGGGCGCAAGCCUGAUGCAGCAACGCCGCGUGAGGGAUGACGGCCUUCGGGUUGUAAACCUCUUUUAGUAAGGAAGAAGGGGAGCUUGCUCCUUGACGGUACUUGCAGAAAAAGGACCGGCUAACUACGUGCCAGCAGCCGCGGUAAUACGUAGGGUCCGAGCGUUGUCCGGAAUUAUUGGGCGUAAAGAGCUCGUAGGCGGUUUGUCACGUCUGCUGUGAAAUCCCGAGGCUCAACCUCGGGCCUGCAGUGGGUACGGGCAGACUGGAGUGCGGUAGGGGAGAAUGGAAUUCCUGGUGUAGCGGUGGAAUGCGCAGAUAUCAGGAGGAACACCGAUGGCGAAGGCAGGUCACUGGGCCGCAACUGACGCUGAGGAGCGAAAGCAUGGGGAGCGAACAGGAUUAGAUACCCUGGUAGUCCAUGCCGUAAACGUUGGGCACUAGGUGUGGGGCUCAUUCCACGAGUUCCGUGCCGCAGCAAACGCAUUAAGUGCCCCGCCUGGGGAGUACGG